UCUCCUGUAGCUCAGUGGUAGAGAGCGUCCAACCAGUGCGAGGAAGGUCAUAGGUUCGACUUCUGUUGUAAGAA